UACGUAGGGGGCAAGCGUUGUCCGGAUUUAUUGGGCGUAAAGAGCGCGUAGGCGGUCCGGUAAGUCCGCUCUGAAAGUCCGGGGCUCAACCCCGGGAGGCGGGCGGAUACUGUCGGGCUAGAGUCCGGAAGAGGCGAGUGGAAUUCCUGGUGUAGCGGUGAAAUGCGCAGAUAUCAGGAGGAACACCAAUGGCGAAGGCAGCUCGCUGGGACGGUACUGACGCUGAGGCGCGAAAGCGUGGGGAGCGAACGGG
rnacentral:rRNA from 1 species